rnacentral:tRNA from 1 species
GGUGUGGCUUAGUGGCAGAGCACUUGCCCAGGACGCAGGAAGCCCUGGGUUCCAUCCCCAGCACC